rnacentral:rRNA from 1 species
GACGGAGGGUGCAAGCGUUGUUCGGAUUGACUGGGCGUAAAGGGCGUGUAGGCGGUUGGUCAAGUCCGAUGUGAAAGCCCGGGGCUCAGCUUCGGAAGUGCAUCGGAAACUAGCCAGCUGGAGCGCGAUAGAGGAGGGCGGAAUUCCUGGUGUAGCGGUGAAAUGCGUAGAUAUCAGGAGGAACACCGGCGGCGAAGGCGGGUCUCUGGGCAGUAACUGACGCUGAGGAGCGAAAGCGUGGGGAGCGAACAGG